AUACGGAGGGUGCAAGCGUUGUUCGGAAUCACUGGGCGUAAAGGGCGCGCAGGCGGUUUGGUAAGUCAGAUGUGAAAGCCCACGGCUCAACCGUGGAAGUGCAUUUGAAACUGUCAGACUUGAGUACUAGAGGGGAAAGUGGAAUUCCCGGUGUAGAGGUGAAAUUCGUAGAUAUCGGGAGGAAUACCGGUGGCGAAGGCGACUUUCUGGCUAGAUACUGACGCUGAGGCGCGAAAGCGUGGGGAGCGAACAGGAUUAGAAACCCUAGUAGUCC
rnacentral:rRNA from 1 species